rnacentral:rRNA from 1 species
GACGAACGCUGGCGGCGUGCUUAACACAUGCAAGUCGAACGGAAAGGCCCUGCUUUUGUGGGGUGCUCGAGUGGCGAACGGGUGAGUAACACGUGAGUAACCUGCCCUUGACUUUGGGAUAACUUCAGGAAACUGGGGCUAAUACCGGAUAGGAGCUCCUGCUGCAUGGUGGGGGUUGGAAAGUUUCGGCGGUUGGGGAUGGACUCGCGGCUUAUCAGCUUGUUGGUGGGGUAGUGGCUUACCAAGGCUUUGACGGGUAGCCGGCCUGAGAGGGUGACCGGCCACAUUGGGACCGAGAUACGGGCCCGACUCCUACGGGAGGGAGCAGUGGGGAAUAUUUCACCAUGGGCGGAAGGCUGAUGCAGCAACGCCGCGUGCGGGAUGACGGCCUUCGGGUUGUAAACCGCUUUCGCCUGUGACGAAGCGUGAGUGACGGUAAUGGGUAAAGAAGCACCGGCUAACUACGUG